AAGUCCCAUGAUGAAGACACUUACGAAGCAACUCCUUGAAUCGCUCCCAAGCCUCAUGCAAAGACACAUCAUCCAGUUGUUGGAAAGUUGUGAUCUCAUUCCUCAACUU